rnacentral:lncRNA from 1 species
CCACACCUUUGCAUUUCAAUCAUUACACAACAUAUUUUCCUCAUUUACCAGCCUACUAGUAUCCAUGGGGAUCCAUAGGGGUCCCGUUACCCGUGAACCCUUAACAUUUAUAACCUGAUUCCAGGGCCGUCCCCACACCCCGUCCGGUAUGGGCGCCAAAACCAUGAACCUCAAUACCCCGUCCGGUAUGAGGGUAAAACGGGCCGUCCCCAUACCCCGUCCGGUAUGGGCGCCAAACACAUAAGGUCUCUAUACCCCGUCCGGUAUGAGAGACCACAUUCCCGGUAGGGUUCCCUACGGACCCGGUCCGUCCACCAUCUCCCAGGAUAUCUAGUCAGGCUGUCCACAAUAUCCACUAUCAAUUCACAUAACCUUUUUGACAU